GCAGGAUGGGGCAGGCGUGGUGCUGGGUCCUGGCCAUGUUCUGGGUUCGGUCUGAGUGCAUCCCCAAGGACUUGUGUGUUGGAAGCUCUGUUCUUGGUGUGGUCAUGUUAGGAAGUGGGGGGCUUUGAAGAGGUGGGGCCUCGUAGGAGGUCACUGGGUCUUGGAGGUGCUUCCCAUGCAGCGGGUUAAAGUGGCUCCCAUGAAACCCUGAGUGCCUUUUCUCCAGAGAGCUCCCCUGCUCUGGCUUCCUGUCUCACUGUGACAUCACUUCCUCCCCUGUGGAUGCUCACUGUGAUGCUGGACAUCAUGAGAUCCUCAUUAGAGCUGAGCUCACGCUGGCUCCAGGAACUGUGAGCCAAAUAAAUCUCUUUGUUCUAUAAAAUAUCCAGCAUCUGAUAUUUUGAUACAGUAACACAGUCCACUUCCAGGCCAACCCCAGAAACUUGCUAUUUCCACUCUCUGUCUCUUGGACAACUUGUUCUUAGAACUAAGCCACCCCAAUAUGAAGACACUCAAGUCACUGAGCAGACAGACUUCUUUGGGGAGCCACCACCUGCAUGGACUCACCAGAUUCUUGCAGGCGACAGCUAUGGAUCAUUCUGAGCCUGUCUUCUCUGGGCCUGGAUGUGGGGUAAGGACAGUGUGACAAGUGGCCUGAUAAUGCUGGAAAUGUAGGUCACGGUUUAGUUUCCUGAGCCACAGCCUGCAGUUCUGCUCUGCGCGAGCAUUCUGGAGGCAACACCAUCUUAGUACAAGGGUGCUUGGUACAUUUCUUUUAAAAAUUAGGUUUUUGGAGCCCUGGUUUUGUACCUGAAGUCAACUCUACGAUAGCUUCUGAGACAGCAGCUCAAAUACAAUUUUAACUUGGGUUCCACACAGUGGUGUCUUUUGUGUAACUUGCUCGCUCAUGGUCUAAGAAAAUACACGUCAGGAUUUAGUGCCGAAUGGAAAGCACACUGUCAGGCUCCUCAGCUUUCUAAUGUAAUAAAACUUGGUGACUGAACAUCAGGUUUGCUAAACAGCCAGGGGGUUAGAGGGGAAGUGAUAAAAAUAGCUUCCAGGCUUUCCACACAUAAUGCACAUCCAAACCUGCAUUGUUUUUGCCC